AAUUUGAAGAUAUCAGCGCAAGCACCCACAGCAUCUGGGUUAACCCAUUCUUCACAUAGAAAGGAUAACUCAGAAUUGAACCAAGAAAAUUUUGGGAUGAUGUCAGAAAAUACGAGUACAACACCAUCAAAUAACGCAUUUUCAACUAGAAUGCAACCUGGACCCACAAAUUCAGGUUCUCAAACUGGCAGUUAAAGUGAUCUCCAAUCAAAUUUGAAGAUAUCAGCGCAAGCACCCACAGCAUCUGGGUUAACCCAUUCUUCACAUAGGUAAGUAAAUAAUAUAAUCAACAUAUUAACUGUAAUGUUAGGUGCCAUGUCAUCAUGGCUCACCACACUGAAUUUAUCAGUAUGG